GGGUCAGUAGGUUGGUCGUGCCACCGGUACGUACUGGUCUCACUGAUUCCUCCCUCCUGAAGAACCGUAAUGCCAUUAAUUUGGUGUUGCGGGGAAACAGGACUGUUACUUUGAAAAAAUUAGAGUGUUUAAAGCAGGCUAACGCUUGAAUACAUUAGCAUGGAAUAAUGGAAUAGGACGAUCGAUCCUAUUUUGUUGGUUUCUAGGAUUGACGUA
rnacentral:rRNA from 1 species